rnacentral:rRNA from 1 species
GACGAACGCUGGCGGCGUGCUUAACACAUGCGAGUCGAACGGAAAGGCCUUUUCGGAGGUACUCGAGUGGCGAACGGGUGCGUAACACGUGGGUGAUCUGCCCUGCACUCUGGGAUAAGCCUGGGAAACUGGGUCUAAUACCGGAUAGGACCGCACUUUAGUGUGUGUGGUGGAAAGUUGUUUCGGUGUAGGAUGAGCCCGCGGCCUAUCAGCUUGUUGGUGGGGUACUGGCCUACCAAGGCGGCGACGGGUAGCCGGACUGAGAGGUUGGUCGGCCACAUUGGGACUGGGAUGCGGCCCAGACUCCUACGGGAGGCAGCAGGGGGGAAUAUUGCACAAUGGGCGCAAGCCUGAUGCAGCGACGCCGCGUGGGGGAUGACGGCCUUCGGGUUGUAAACUCCUUUCGCCAGGGACGAAGCGUUUUGUGACGGUACCUGGAGAAGAAGCACCGGCUAACUACGUG